CGCAGAUCAGUCUUUAAAUAUCCGUUCGUCUUAGUGGACUUCAGUCAAUCGACUUUUGCUCUUGCAUUAGUUGCCGACAUAUUAAAUCAACGAUUUGUACACACUUUUAUACAUAGAAAAUCAACGAGAUGAUGCAAUUCCUAAUUUUAUCAAUAUUUUUAAUGUCAAUACGAAGUUCUUUGGGACAGGGUGAAUUAUCCCCAAACCCGACCACUUGUGAACCAGUUGCAUUCACGUCUAGUGAACCCUUCGAAGGAAAAGUGUUUUUGUAUCCUUGGAGAACCGAAGAUAGAAAAGGUGACUGGUAUUACAACCGAGCAUAUUGUGCUAAACAUUGCGCUGAAAUGGUUACGCUACACAACGAAGCGGAGAACAACUUUUUCUAUAAUUUUAUGUACCAAGUUGGUAUGAGGUCCCAUGGUGUUUGGCUCGGAGCACAAGUCAGAGACAGGCAUCAAUUCACUCACUGGCAUAACAACGAAGUGGCAUCCUAUCAGCCAAUUAUGCCCGGAGAGUAUGACCAACAGGGCCUAACAUGUCUUGAUAUGAGCUUUUUCCCAGGAGAACGUAAAUGGAGAAACUGGUUCUGUGCUGGAUCUAUAGAAAGCACCAAUCAUCACAUAGCAUGUCAACGAAAAAAAUCAUGCAAGGAUAGUUGAUUCGUUUAACGAAAUCGUCAAAAAUGUGUAUCACUUAGCAGGAAGAUCGAUUUCAUAAUAAAACUAUUUAAAACUGAAAAAUCCGU